GACGAAUGCUGGCGGCGUGCUAAACACAUGCAAGUCGAACGGUAAGGCCCUUCGGGGUACACGAGUGGCGAACGGGUGAGUAACACGUGGGUGAUCUGCCCUGCACUUCGGGAUAAGCCUGGGAAACUGGGUCUAAUACCGGAUAGGACCCUGGGAUGCAUGUCCUGGGGUGGAAAGCUUUUGCGGUGUGGGAUGGGCCCGCGGCCUAUCAGCUUGUUGGUGGGGUGAUGGCCUACCAAGGCGACGACGGGUAGCCGGCCUGAGAGGGUGACCGGCCACACUGGGACUGAGAUACGGCCCAGACUCCUACGGGGGGCAGCAGUGGGGAAUAUUGCACAAUGGGCGCAAGCCUGAUGCAGCGACGCCGCGUGAGGGAUGACGGCCUUCGGGUUGUAAACCUCUUGCAGCACCGACGAAGCGCAAGUGACGGUAGGUGCAGAAGAAGGACCGGCCAACUACGUGCCAGCCGCCGCCGUAA
rnacentral:rRNA from 1 species